rnacentral:lncRNA from 1 species
CUGAACUGUAACUGUUGAGUGGAGGGUUUUCUAAUCGAGUGUGUCUUCUGCCAUAUUUAUCUCUCCUUCUCUUUCUCUGAUUACAGUUUUCAGGCAUAAUGAAUUUUUCCUCGUUCUGAAGAGCUCAGUGAAACUGUUCUACCGUGAAACCCUUAAAGAGGAUCAAACUGUCUCUACGGACAUCUUGGCCCAGGACCAUGAAGUUAAAGUGUCUUUGAUCCAGGGUUGCCAGCUGUACCUUCACUGGCCAAAGCUUUCCAUCAACCACCUGGUCGACGGCAUGCAGCUAAAAACAUUCCCUGCUAAUCAAGUGCUGGUGAAGGAGGGAAAGAUCUUUCCGUUUGUGGCCUUCAUUGGACAUGGGAGAAUGUAACAUCCUUUAGGACGUGGGAUCUUUGUCAAAAAGGUUGUGUGUGUGUGUAGUAUAUAUAUAUAUAUAUAUAUAUAUAUAUAUAUAUAUAUAUAUAUAUAUAUGUACACACACACACACAUAAUUGAAUUUUUGUAGAAAUUACUGUAUUGAGAUAUACUGUUCUCUGGCUAGCUGAAUUUCAAUUUUGUUAUUUGUUUUUUCACACAGCAGAGUAAUUUAUUUUGAU